UCCAGUUAAACCUGUCACCCAUUCUGUGAGCCCAGAUGGCUGCCACAGAAAAUUCUGAAGCUCAUGGGCUCCAGGCCCCAUGCCCUGGGAUCUGAGGAUAAGUUUGGCUGCAGACAUGG